GUGCUCGCUUCAGCAGCGCAUAUACUAUAAUUGGAACGAUUAGAUAGAUGGUUGCCCCUGUGCAAGGAUGACACGCAAAUUCGUAAAGUGUUCCAUUAUUUU